rnacentral:rRNA from 1 species
CCUACGGGAGGCAGCAGUGGGGAAUAUUGCACAAUGGGGGGAACCCUGAUGCAGCGACGCCGCGUGAGUGAAGAAGUAUUUCGGUAUGUAAAGCUCUAUCAGCAGGGAAGAAAAUGACGGUACCUGACUAAGAAGCCCCGGCUAACUACGUGCCAGCAGCCGCGGUAAUACGUAGGGUGCAAGCUUUAUCCGGAUUUACUGGGUGUAAAGGGAGCGUAGACGGCUAUGCAAGUCUGAAGUGAAAGCCAAAGGCUCAACCAUGGGACUGCUUUGGAAACUGUAAAACUGGAGUGCAGGGGAGGUAAGCGGAAUUCCUAGUGUAGCGGUGAAAGGCGUAGAUAUUAGGAGGAACAACAGUGGCGAAGGCGGCUUACUGGACUGUAACUGACGUUGAGGCUCGAAGGCGUGGGGAGCAAACAGGAUUAGAUACCCGGGUAGUC